rnacentral:tRNA from 1 species
GCAAACGUAGCUUACUUAAAGCAUAACACUGAAGCUGUUAAGACGAACCCUAAUAAGUUCCGUGAGCA